UAAGACUGUGCGAUAUUUAUCAUUUUAUUUAGAGUAAAAAUAUUAUUGUGGAUUAGCUUGUAGUUUCUGGUGGUUUACUCCAAAAAUUCAAGAAACGGAAGAAGCUUCGUUUAAUGACUGGAGGAAAUGAGAACCAUUGAAACGAACGAUAUUAUUCGCCUUUCGAUCAUUUUCAUACCGACUAAUUGAACAUCCUCAUUCCUUCUCUCAUCAUUUCUAAUUUUGUUUCUGCUCUUCGUACACGAAUAUAUGCAACGGGAAUCGCAGGUUUGUAUAUCAAUUAAAAAGAAAUAUCACGCUUCGAAAAUUGCCAAACUGAGUUCGCGACUAUUACGAGCGCUUUUUCAUUUAAAGCGAUCUUAAAAUGUAAGGAUCAGUACGAAUAAAGGAAUCCUGAAGUAGACAUGAAAAUUGAAGAUGUCAACAUUUUUUAGAAUAUGUUUUCUAUUCUUGAAGAAUUAUUCUCGCCCCUUCGAUAUUGAGAGUAACAAGAAAAUAUGUGUCAGAUACCCUUUUUAAAGAACCUGUAAAUUUUAAUAAAAUCAAUGGUUUGCAUUUUUUUCCCGUAUAUCGCCAUGUUUGCGGAACAAAAUUGGUCCAGUCAAUACGACCUGAACACAAAUUGUAAAACUGAGUAAAAUAACAUUUCUGUUCAUAUUCAUUAAAGUAAAAUAAACAGAAAUUAAUAUAUUUGUACAAUACAGUUGAAUGCAAUAAACUUUUGAUUUAUUUAGCAUCACGAUGUGCAAGUACUUCUAAAUUAUCAUUUUCUAGGAGAUUCUUAUCGAGCUAAGUUUUUUGUACACUUUGGAAUUGGUGAUCGUGGUAGGGAAUUGAAUUUAUUGUUAAAUGUUGUUAAAUAGGAAGAAGAAAGCGACGAAGAUGCGAUUACGGCCCAACCGCAGGGCGGUCCACAGAAUAGUUCGACGAACCAGCCAAUUUUCGCUAUGCCACCGCCGGCCGCCAUGGCCGACGAGAAUACAAAUUUGAAUAGCGGCGCUGAGAGAGUUAUUUACACAACUGCCGCUUCUACAAAUCCGUUCAUUGGAGCAAACGUUGGUACAACCGGCGCAAGUCCGACAAAGUGGUAGUCACCGAACUAAUGAGAAUACACCUAUACACGAACGUUAGAGGAUUAUUACGUAAUUCUUUGCGGGGUGGAUUUUUGUGUGCAGAUUAACACGUCAGACAACAGAAUGCUGUCUGCAAAAGCGUUUCCUCUCAUCUAGUUAAAAUUGAUGUUGAUCGACUGCUUAUUUUCUUCGUGUAAUCAAAUAUAUUAAACAUCUCCAGAACCUCGCGACGUCAUAUAGUCUAAUAUUCCUGCUACCAUUUCGUUUCUUCCUGUACUUCAAAUAAAUACUUGCCACAAUAAGCAAGGUAACAAUUACCAUAGUAAGUGUACGUCUAUACGGAAUCAAAAAAGCGAUACUCGUAUGUGGAUCCACCCCGUGUAAAACGAAGAACGACGAUUGAGGACCUUGACGUAUAAUAAAUAACCCGUUUACAAAAUUCACGAUUACGAGAAAUGGAAGACGUGUAAUUAAUAAUAAUUAAUGAUCACAUUUUGUUCGUACACGAGUACGUAUACAUACGUAACGAAACUAAUGACAAUGACUUAACGUUAACUAGCAAACAUUCCCUUGUUAAUUGACAAAUCUAUUAACGCGUUAAUGUGUACCGUUACGUAUUAUAA